rfam:Triticum urartu cultivar G1812 contig1149990, whole genome shotgun sequence.
GCGCGCGUGCUAAAACGGGGGAUUUUGCGGCGCGGCGCUAGUUUGGCGCGCGUGUUGGAGAUGCUCUUAUGCUUGGUUGAUGACAUCUGACCUGUGUGCCGGAGCGUGAUUAACGGCUCAGAUCAGUCUGACUGAUCCCAUGGCUGCAGAGGAUCGUUCUUGUUCAGCUCUAGCUGGCCAGGGUGGCUCUCAGGUUGUCUGACAGU